rnacentral:lncRNA from 1 species
UGGCUUUGAUCUGGACCGUGAAGUCUACCCUCUGGUAGUGCACGCUGUGGUGGAUGAAGGAGAUGCACCCGGACGGGACCUUCUGUGUGAAGCCCCUCAAGCAGAAGCAAGUGGUGAGUCUCUGAGGCCAGCGGCUCCUAGCGCUUCCCUCUCUCUUUCCUUGUGAUUUUUUUUAACUUUGUAAAACUAUGCGCUCUUGUUUCUCUCCCCUAUUUUUUUUCCUUUUAAUGAAAGAAGAUGUUUGGAGGAGUCCCUUGUGUCUGUUAGAAGCUGCUUGGGUGGCCCCGAGGGAGUACUGGCUUUUAGUGCCUUUAUUGGUUUGGAAUUGUUGGUGCCUCCCAGGCCACGGUUAUCUUGAAAAGGGAAAGAAUAAUGUUUGUCUCCUGACAUUAGGGUGAAGGAGAGCUCUUUUUACUUAAAAUGCCAUGAUGAGAAACAUUUCAAACACAAAGAUAAAGCACUGAGCCUGUUUCAGGGCCAAUCUGAGUUCUGAGCAUAAUUUAUCCUCGAACUCCUUUUCUGAGAUUCAGCGUAUUGGCCAUCUGCCUCCCAGGAGAGUGAGCAUCAAGAUGUGAGCAUGUCAGUUGGAAGGCCCAGCCCCUACCAUGUGCCAACAUUUUACACUUCUGCAACAGGAGGAGGACAUGUCACGGAGGGCUAGGGACAAGUGCAGCCAGUGACGUUGGCAAGGAGGGUAGGAGGCUCGAGGUGUGGUGACUUGUGCCUGUAAUUUCAGCAGAAGGGAGGCAGAGGCAAGAACAUUACCUGGAGUUCUAGACCAGCUUUAGCUACAGUGAGUUCCAGACCAACCAGAGCUACAAAGUACGAACCUGUAACAAACAAACAAACAAAGGAUGGUUUGAAAAAAGUAGUGACCAAACCAGAUACGCUGAUGCAUGCCUUUAAUUCCAGCACUUGGCAGACAGAGGCAGGUGCAUCUCUAUGAGUCUGAGAACAGCCUGGUCUACAGAGCAAGUUUCAGGAUAGCCAGGACGACACAGAGAAAACCCUGUCUCAAAACACAUACACACACACACACACACACAAACAAACAAAAAAGGGAGGAAGAAAGGAGGAAGAAGAGGAAGAGGAAUAGAGCCAAGUGUGUGUGAUUGCUCUCAGUACUUGAGAAGCAGAGACAGUUCGAUCCAUGAAUCUGAGUCCAGCCUAGUCUAUAAAGCAAGUUCCAGGACAGCUAGGACUACACAGAGAACCUUGUGUCAUAAAAUACACAAAAAAAGAGAGGAGGGGAAGAUUUAAUUUUUUAAGAGGAGAAAAGAAAAAAAAAAUUUUCGAGACCCUGGCUGUCCUGGAACUCACUCUGUAGACCAGGCUGGCCUCGAACUCAGAAAUCCGCCUGCCUCUAUCUCCCAAGUGCUGGGAUUAAAGGCAUGCGCCACCACGCCCAGCGAAAUUUUUUU